AAACAACAUAUAAUAUGUUUAUAUUAAUUUUUUAUGAAUUUAAUUUUAAUUUUUAAUUUUGUGACUUUGACUUGUUUAAUAUCAUGGUUGAAAUUUUUUAAAAAAUUGAAUGAAGUUUAGAAUCACUUUAUAAAAUUUUUGAAAAAUUCAAUUGAGAGUUGGUACAUGGAAAAAUAGAAAUAUAUAUGGUAAGAUUUAGCUUCGGGCUUUCUUGUUCGGCUUGUUGUGUUGACCCACCAAAGCCCAAUCCAAAAACUCGAUUUUCAUGGCAGCCCAAUAUUAACUAAUACUCUAGGAGCCCACCCUCUGUAUUUAUCACAAUCCCUUGGGUGGUUGGUUGGAAGAGAAACGAGUUAAAAGAACAGAUGAAUAUUUCUUUUGGUUAUAUGGAAAAAUAUUUCCUUAAAAUUUUAAUAAUCAUGAGAUAGUUAUAUCAUAAAGGAUUCUUAUCAAUUAAUAAAAUAUCAAAUAAGCCAUGAGAUAUGCACAUACUGACUUCGCUCUCUUACCAUAUAUUAUGGUGAAAACUUAAUUAACACCAUACUGAUAGAUAGAAAAACUCAAGCUAAAAUCAGAUUACCCAUGAUUUCAUGAUAGAUAAUUCUUCUUCUAGGGGGAAGCCUUCAAGUUAUUUCAUAAGUAAUCCUAAAAUAUUUAGAGAGAAAAAGUUUACUUAAAUCCAGUCUAUUAUGAAUUUAGAACACAAAUAUAUAGGUUAUACAUAUUUUAUAUAUGAACUCACAAUAUAUGUUGUAUAUUUUGGAUGCGUGAUAAAUUAAAUUUAAGUAAAAAUUUCUCUUACAAAUUGUUCUUCCAAGUAUUGAGCUGCUUUAUAUUUGAGAUACAUUUGCUUGUGAAUAAAACCAUAAUUUAUCAAGAAUUUGGACUAAUAAUUUUUUAAUAUUGUGGUGCAUUUAGAAUAUCUGUUUAUUGUUGAUGCAUAUAGACAAGACCUUUUGAGUAUGUAUAAGUAGCCUGGAAUAGAAAAUUCUAUUGAAUUAUUAUUUAACAGUCGAAAAUUGACAAAGAGAUGUUAGAAAAUGAACAAAGAUGCAUGGAAAGAUAUCUUCCCAUGCAAAAGCAUCGACCACUACCGAAAGGUAGCAAGAUUAGAUACGUAGGUUAUAACAUCACUUUUUUUUUUUUUAACAA
rnacentral:misc_RNA from 1 species